AUGGUCCGGGGAAAGGCUCCUGUGUGACUGACCCCGCCCCGUGGUGGGUGCAGCCUCGUACCAGGCAGCCCCACCCUGACCUAAAGUAAAUUCCCAGCGGAAGUUUUCCCUGGGUUUUGAAUUUGCAGUAACAGGUGUGAACAUUCUAGCAGCAGUUUGAUGAUCAUGUAUGAUACUGCAAACAGGA
ensembl:scaRNA